UUAAUUCUUAUGUGCUCACCCAGAACAGC
rnacentral:piRNA from 1 species